UACGUAGGGUGCGAGCGUUGUCCGGAGUUACUGGGCGUAAAGCGCUUGUAGGCGGUCCACCAAGUUUGGGGUGACAGUUGCCGACUUAAUCGGCAAAGUGCCUCAAAGACUGGCGGACUUGAGGGCCACAGAGGGACAUGGAACUCCAGGUGUAGUGGUGAAAUGCGUAGAUAUUCGCAAGAACACCAGUGGCGAAGGCGGCUCACUGGCCCGAUACUGACGCUGAGGUGCGAAAGCGUGGGGAGCAAACAGG
rnacentral:rRNA from 1 species